GAAAUGCGAUAAGUAAUGUGAAUUGCAGAAUUCAGUGAAUCAUCGAAUCUUUGAACGCACCUUGCGCUCCUUGGUAUUCCUUGGAGCAUGCCUGUUUGAGUAUCAUGAAAUCUUCAAAGUAAAUCUUUUGUUAACUCAAUUGGUUUCUACUUUGGUAUUGGAGGUCUUUGCAGCUUCACACCUGCUCCUCUUUGUUCAUUAGCUGGAUCUCAGUAUUAUGCUUGGUUCCACUCGGCGUGAUAAGUUAUCUAUCGCUGAGGACACUGUAAAAGGUGGCCAAGGUAAAUGCAGAUGAACCGCUUCUAAUAGUCCAUUGACUUGGACAAUACUUUUAUGAUCUGAUCUCAAAUCAGGUAGGACUACCCGCUGAACUUAAGC
rnacentral:misc_RNA from 1 species